rnacentral:rRNA from 1 species
AGCCUGAACGCUGGCGGCGUGGCUAAGACAUGCAAGUCGAACGGGUCCCGAGCAAUCGGGAUCAGUGGCGGACGGGUGAGUAAUGUAUCGCUAACGUGCCGCGGAGCCUGGGAUAGCCGGCCGAAAGGCCGGGUAAUACCAGAUGAGACCACGGGCAGGCAUCUGCCAGUGCUCAAAGUCCCGAGCAAUCGGGACACUC